GUGGCCAGACUGGCAUCCGCCUCCUUCGUGGCUGGCUCAGUGGGCUUCUCUCUGCCCAGGAAGCGCCCUGGCCGGCCUUUGGAGCCUUCUCCCAGGCGGCAGGGGCCUGGCGGACACCCCAAGGGCCAACAGCCGCUGACCUUGCACCUAAAAAGAAUACAUUGUUUUCAAACACAGCUUCCUAUUCCUGCCAGAUAAACCCGCACACUAACAAUGCGUCCAGGUUGUAAAAUGUUGGCCAGGGUUUCUUUUUUAGCAGCGAACUUUUUGUCAAGAGAUUGGCAUUUUCCUCCCCAUUCACACCCGGCCGGCUCUGCUUUCAGGGUUGGGCGCUGGCCCCUGGGUACCCAGAGUCACACACACACACUCGGCCGGCUCAGCCUUGCAGCGUUGAUAACAUUGUUAUUAUUAGACGUGGCCUCUGGAAUCCCGGAGGUCAUUCCCAAACAACGGUCCUUCUGGUGCAAUGAAAGAGCAGCCCCGGUUAUCGCGGCGGAGGCCCCGGAUCCAUUACCCCCUGGGCCUUUGGGUCCAGAUGGCUCCUGGACAAGAAACCUCCAGAGAAAGUUAUCCCCAGAACCAGCCUGGAACCCGUGCUGGGAUCCGUGCCCCCGCCCCUUCCCCUCGCUGGUCCUAGUGCCCCGCGCAUCCCCCCUCCCUCCGCGCUCCCUCGAUGCCCGGACCCGGGCCGGGCUGGACACCGGGUUCCUUUCCCUCAGCUGGCUGGUUCCCUGACCCCCAGCUUCGGCCCCAACCCAUUGUCCGUGCCCUCAAUGUCCCUUCUUUCCUGUCCCCCAGCCAGGGUGCCCUGUAUACCGUAGGUGUCCUUGAGCCGUGACUGCAGAAGUUCAAUGCCUCUUGUUUGUUGGUUUCUUCCUCCGGGUGCUUUCAGAUCUGCCUAUGACUUUAUCACAGCGGAAACGCCCUUAAGUUUUUUCAUGUGCCUUCCCAGCCAGAUCGUUCCUAAGCUGGGAACCUCCUGGUUGCCCAUGUCGUCUUUCAGGUGCUUGGUAAUACCAGACUGUGAGGUCUUGGUGGGCAGAAAAAAAGGGUCUCUUUUACCCCCAUUGAGGUAUGAAAUAUUUGCAGUCAACUAUGUAAAGUGCAAUAAUCUUAAGUUGUAUAUGUACACAUUGAGUUCAGCUCAAUAUACAUCUCUGUGUAUAUGCAUAUAUAUAUUUAUAUAUGCAUGUAUGUAUUUGUGUAUAUAUGUGUGUGUGUGUCUUUGCUAACCAAUCCUCAGGUUAAGGUAAAGUGUUUCCAGGUUCUUCCUACCUCUUCCCAGUCCAUGCCGAGCCCUUAUCCCACCCCCAUCCUCCCAGAUAACCCAUUUUGAUAUCUGAGAUGUCUUAAAUAUCACUUCAUCUUUUCAUCCUACAUAGCAAAUGUUUGAUAAACAUGUUUUUCAAGUAAAAUGUAUUAUGUUUUGUCCCCACUGCAGAGCACUGUACUCUGUUUGACUGCCUGGGAUCUCGGUUCUUAAUGGGUUAAUCGAGUAAGCCUGGGGUUGUAUUUCAGUAGCUUUGCUCAGCGCUGGAUUUAAACACAGUGGAAACCAAGUUAAGGGCAGUGCUGUUCUGUAUAUCAGGAUGCCCACUGAGCCAAGGAGACCCAUUUAUUUUUAAUUGAAUUAAAUUGCUCACAAAAUGAAAGUAGCAUACUUUCAUUAAUAUUUAAUUACAUACAGUGUUAAACAAUGAUCACAAAGAAAACUUUGCAGCUUUUUUUUUUGUCUCUGCUUUUUUUUUUUUUAUUACUUUGUUAAACAAGAUACUUUUAUUAGCUGUUUUAUGCUUGGAAUUUUAAGGGCCCUGCUCUUAUACCACUCCAGAAGUACUUAAUUGGCAGGAUUCAGCUGAGUGAGGGGGUAGGUUAGCUGUGACGAUGGCCACUGGCAGGUGUGUGUGUACACAUAUAUGCUUUAGUUUAGUUACUUGGCCAGAAGAAGAUAUUUGUGGGAGUAAUCAGGGCCUCUAGCAAAGAGAUAAAAGUCCGCAUUCUGAAUAUCUUGGAGUCAACCAGCUAUGCCUACUCUUCCAAAAAAUUCUGUAUAUGAAGUCAGCCCUCUGCAUCCACAGUUAUGGAGGGCAGACUGUACUAUGCCAUUUUACAGAAAGAAUUUUGGUAUCUGCGGGGUUGGGGGUGGGGGGGGUCCUGGAACCAGUCUCUUGAAGAUAUGGAGGGAUUACUGUACUGAAAAAAGAGAUCCCAUUUGCAAGAGAUCAUCCCAAAGGAAAAAGAGUUCUACUUUGCAGGGCAGCUUAUUUCUGUGUUUUAUCAGAUUGUUCUGUGUUUUAUCAGAUUGUUCUCUGGGAUCCAUGCCCCCCCCGCCACAGAGCAGUGAUUCUCAAAUUUCUGAGCACCUAAGAGGACCCCGAGGUGCUUGAUAAUAGACUCCUUGACCCCAUGGCCAGAAAUUUUAAUUCAUAAGAGCCAGAGAAUCUGCAUUUUCUGUCAGUAUUCAAGGUGUUGAUUCGGACAAAGAGUACUGGAAGCCCACACUGUGAGAAACAGCAUCACAAAGAUAUGGAACAGAGUCAGGAACCAUUUAGAUUUAUUUAUAGCAAUGGAAUUGAUUUUCAUACUAAGCCUUAUGCAGAUCCCUUGGUGGCUUAGCGAUUUAAGGAUCCAGCGCUAUCCCUACUGUGGCUCAGAUCACGCUUUGGUGUGGGUUCAAUCCCUGGACCAGGAAAUCCUGCAUGCCACAGGUGCAGCCAAAAAAAUGAGAGUAAAAUAAAAUGAUGAUGGGGUCCCUGGUCUUUCCUUUUCCGCUUUGUCACUCCUUAGCUUUUUCCCAGGGGUUGGAGCCACAGAGCUGUAGCACUUAGAGGUACUGUUUGGGAGCCCAUGAAUGAGUCUUAGUGAAUAAAUAAUUAGAGGCUUUUGACAAGUUAGGGAAAUUACAACAUCCUGCAAGAAUUGUCAAAGAUGUGUCCAAAGAUAAAAUUACUCCCCAGAGAAGUGGGAUAAGGUUCUCUGUCAUGAGAGGAGUCUAGGCAGUUCCUGGCUGCUACUUAACAGGCAUGCUCAUUUGUUUAUCCAUUCAUUCAGCGCAAGUGGACUGAAUGACCACUCUGCAGUGUCAGCACUAGGGAUGUGCUAUGGACAAGCUUACAGGUGACUUUGAGCAGGUGAGCUUGUGUCAUAGGUGGGGGGACAGGGUUGGCGAAUGAGAAGGCGAGCACCUAAGGGUUAUGAAGGAUGUAAUAGAUCAUGCGUUAGAGAAGGUCUCCCAGAAGAAAGACACAUGAUAGGUGUCCCAGAAGGGACUAAACUCACACCUGGGCCUCGGCUCGUAUGGCGCAUUGUAUCAAUAAAUAUUUGUUGAAUGAAUGAAUGAAUGCAAACAGUUGGGCUUGAAUGUUGGGCUUAGUCAUCUAGAAAAAAUGUAACAGUAGGAGAGAAUCCAUGGAAGAUCUUGAGCAGAAGAAUUUAUUGAUGGUGGUAUCUGAGAACAAUUUGCACUAAUAACUGAUGUUCCUUCUGUGUUUUUCCUUUUUUAUUUUUUUGUCUUUUUUUUUUUUUUUUGGUCUUUUUAGGGCUGUACCCACAACAUAUGGAGGUUCCCAGGCUAGGGGUAGAAUCGUAGCUGUUGCCACAGGCCUACACCACAGCCACAGCAAUGCCAGAUCUGAGCCGCCUCUGCAACCUACACCACAACUCACGGCAAUGCCGGAUCCUUAACCUACUGAGCAAGGCCAGGGAUCGAACCCACAACGUCAUGGUUCCUAGUCAUAUUUGCUUCCCACUGAGACAUAAUGGGAACUGCCCUUCUGUGUUUUUACCAUUUAAAUUUUUAUCUGGCAGGUUUCUAGUCAUCUUUCUGGAUCCAGCGUAGUAGAUUUAGUCAUAAAGGACUUGCUCUGACUUCUCAGGACACAGUGAAGCUUUGAAUCGGUCUGGGGUUCUCUUCUGUGCCCACCGAUUUUACUUUGUCCUCCGUAACACUGGUUACUACUACAUUUUUACACGUCUGUCUCUUGCCUGGACUGUGGCUUCUUUAGAGCAAGAAUUGCAAUGUCUAGAGUUCCCAUUGUGGUGCAGUGGGUUAAGGACCUGACAUUGUCUCUGUGAGGAUGCGUGUUUGAUCCCUGGCCUCACUCAGCAGGUUCAGGAUCUGGUGCUGCCAUAAGCUGUGGCACAGGUUGCAGGUAAGACUUGGAUCCAUUGUUGCUGUGGCUGUGGUGUAGGCUGUAGCUGCAGCUCUAAUUCAACUCCAGGCCUGGGAACUUGCAUAUGCCACAAGUAUGCAGUAAAAAGAAAAAAAAAGAAUUGCAAUGUUAGCUUCGUGUCCUUCCUUCACUUAGCAUUAUAUGUAGUCUUGUAACCAAUAAGGGUUUAACUUCAACAACUGGAAAGUAGAAAUCGCCGAUUCUCUGAAGGUAUAUAAGUAGAGAAAUAAUUUAUUGCCAAGAAAAAAGCACCUGUAAAUGGGUCACUGGAUUUCUAUCUGACAUCUUCGAGGUUCAGAAGGAAAGAUGAGGUACCAUAUACCACAUUUGAACAAGUUUUGUCCUUACUUGAAAUCAUCAAAUUUACUGUCACGAGAAAGGAAAAUGCUACCAUAAAUUGAGCUCUCACCAUAUACCAAAUACAUACAGCUUAGCCACAGCAUAUGUGAAAAAAAGUCAGAGAUUUUAAUGAACAUAAAGCUCAACAUAAAGAAAUAUUGCGAGUGACAUCUCCCCCCCACCCCAAAAAGAAAUGUGCUUUUAAUAGGCAUCAUAGUAGCUCAUGUUUAAAACCAAGGAGAUGAUUGUCUUGUCUUAUUCUACUGCAUUUAAAACAUGCAUGAAUGUGUCAUCCAGAUGCUAUAGUUUAAAAAAGGAAUAAAGUAUAGAAUGUUCUGUAGAAAGGUGUACAAUCCCCAAAAAGCCUCAAAAGCCAGUCUGAUGAAGUGUGGUCGAGGGCCCAGGAGGUUUCGGUCUGGAGAAGAGAAAACUCAGUAGGGGAGCAAUAUAGUCACUGUCACAUAUAAGACUUAUCAUUGGAAAAAUGAUUAGUUUUUUUUUCCUGGAUGACUCCAUAGGAUAGAGCUAGGAACAGUGAGGAAGAUGCCAGGAGACAGACGUUCACACAAUUAAGGGGAGGACAAUUCUAAGAGCGACUGUGAUGGUAGGAUGGGCAGCCUCAAGAGGCAGUGAGGUCUUUUUCACUGGAGAUGUCCAAUCACAGAUGCACUGUCCCUUGGGAGGGGCGCUGCAGAGGCAGUUUCAGUGUUUGAAUGGAGUCCAACCAAAUGGUCCAUGUUCUCUCAGAGGUGGUCAGGUUUGAUUCAUUGAGACUGGAAGCCUAGUGGCCUGGAUGGGGCUAUGGUGCACCUGACUAAAUUUCAGAGCCAUUGUGGAUCCGCUCAGUGGGCAGAAGUAUAGUAUUAGCUGUGUC
rnacentral:lncRNA from 1 species